CCGAGUGUUGCUGACAAAAGAAAACGGUUAACUUCAAGGUAACUCAUUUUCUCUUUGACAAAAAGAGAUUCAUGUACAUGCAACACAUCGCUUACAAAUCUUAGCCCUAUUUAAUCGUUAAUGUGGUACACCAUAGUACUUAUAAUUGACAAAUGUGCUUCACAUCGAUGCUCGUGUUUUGAGUGAUUACAAAAGCAACUCUCAAACAAAAACCAAUACCGUAUUAUUCAUAAUUCAAUAGACUGCUGGUAACUUUACUUUGGGUCGAGUACAUUAUACCACAUUGGUGAUUCGAAAUGCGUACAGUACUUACACAAUCAUAAAACUAUACUCACGCUCCGGCGUGUGUAUUGAUAGUAAUUGCAUUAACAAUAUACAUAGCACGCAACACUGCAACAGUAGACACCUCGUUAAAUGUAAUGAAUGUUUGACAAAGAAUUCGUUUGGUUUGUGAUUAUAUUGAAUUAGACUGUGUCUGUAAGUGAUCAUCUUUGUGAGUAAGCAAGAAAGUUUUACUCCUAAAACAGUUUCUUUACAGAAUACUAAUUCUGAAUAUUUUUCGCAACACUGCAGAUCUACAUCAUGAACAGAACCCGCUCAGCAAAGGUGACAGAAAGAGCCGAACUAUACCUUACAGCCAGCGAUUCCAUUCCUUCAUGGUACAUUAAAUUGAGAGCGAAUAAAUCCGUGUUGAAGCAAAAACCGCGAGUCUCCCAAAAAUAUGCUGUCGAUUGCUUUACCACAGGCUUCUUGUAAAUGUUAUGGUCAAGUUUUUACUCUGGCAUCGGUAGGGCCUCGGCCUAAGAAGAAGCAGAAAACAUAACUCGUUACAAAGUGGAGAGGAAAUACCACUUUUGCUAAGGAGCCACGGAAGCGAAGUGCUUUCUCGAAAGACACAGGAAACGUUCAUAUGAAAUCCUCUGGUAGACUGUUUUUGAAGACUCUCAUAAGUGCGUUAUUUCCAGUCAUGCUUCACACAUCAAACGUCCUCAGUCACCAACAGUAUGUUAGUUGGAGUGAGAGGAAAAAAAGAGGAUUAGGUCGUCCUGUUUAUUAAGUGGAAGGAGAACUAAAGCAACUUGAAGAAUGUGAUGUACAUCCACGCUGUUAAAAAAUGCUGGCAAAUUCUACUAUUGAAAUUGUUAAAAGAGUCGUGCAGGAUGUAUCUCGCUGACUUUUAGAUGGGGGACAUCGAAAAGAAAAUGAUAUGGGAGCAUUCCUUAACAAAUCUCAUGUAUCUGUUGCUUCACUGAAUGAAAAAUGGAAAUGUGCACAGAAAAAGGGAUCCCAAAGUAAAGCUAUUGCUAUGCACUUACUUUGAAAGAUCACUAAGCCCUAUCGACUCUGGUACGAAUGACCAACAGCUCAUCCUAAUCGAAAAAAAUUAAACAGCUUUGGUGAGUUUUGAUUAUUUGGUAAUAUUUUUUCUGUGAGAAAACAGGAAUUUAGUUCAAGAAUGGAGUUGAGAGGUGUAAUGGACAAAGAUUACAAUACACGCGAGUUAAGAACUCGGUGGAAUUGCGAGAUACCUACCAUAAGAGCUUGUAACAUUCUCUUCUCCAACCUAGGGAAAAUAUACGUAUGGUGAGUCAUAGUGAUCUGUAAUCAGGAUAAUGGCAUUGCCCUGUGUUCUGUUGAUGUCGAAAGCAGUGGAUGUUGCGUAAAGGAUAGAUGUAAACAUUUAAUUCAGUUACUGGAGGGUUACCUCUUGCCAGUUUGGGCUAAUGAGAGUUACUGGUCUGUUGGUGCUCAGUUGCUGUGCGACGAAGUGUUGUUUCGUGGGGGUGUGUCACAAAAUCAUCUGUAACUUAACUGAAGUCAUUUUCAAACUGAUGCGUUAGUGUGACGAAGUGGUCGGCUGGUACGGGUGAACUCCAUGGAAGCAUUGACUAAAAUAUUUAUGAUACAAAGUGAUUUGGAGCUCCUAAGCAGGUCUCAUACUGACGAGUGUUUGAUUGGAUAAGUAUGUCGCACGAAUAGGUAGUCCACUUGUUCUCAUCUUCAGUACCGACUUCCAAACAGUCCUUGGUGAGAGAGUAUCGCAUUUGGGUCUCAAGUUACUCGGCUUUAAUCAUUUUAAGCAUUAUAUGAUUGAAAAGUGUCUCACCGGCGUGGAAUCAUUAUAUCUUUGUUAAACGAGUGAUUGACCAGAAAUGAUUUCACACUCAAUCUAGUAACUCCAGGCAAUGAGUUAUGAGUGAGUGUCGCGAAGUGAUCUGGUAGUCAACUGCAGUGCUUCCAGGAAAUAUAUGAAUGAGUGCUCAGAUACAGUAUUUCCAAGUGCUGUCAAGUGGGUAUAUAAGGGAUGGCCUGGGAGAUCAUUUUGGAGGUAGAAUGUGAGCUUACGGUCGGAGAAAGUCAAGGCAUACCUUCUGUUUUGGGAAUCUUCCAGAGUCAUUUUGCGUAUCGCAGUCAUCUCCCACUAAGAAAAAGACCAAGAUCGCAAAUUAGGAUGGAUUCUGUGAAAUGAUUGGUUGCAACUAGCGAGAAUACAUUGUGGUGCUCUACUUACGUAUGUAUCCACGAGUGAGGUUUGUGUGCUAGUAGUAGACAGAAAGAUCAUAGGAUUAGUGUCGUGAAGCAAAAUGAUCAGAUGUAGCUAUUCAUAGCUUAAUUUAGGGUAGAUUUUUUUUUUAGUUUUCUCCAUAGUAAGGAAAUUGCAUGUGUUAUAUUUUAAAGUUUGUAAAAGUUAUGAAUGAAAUACAACAAAAGGUUACAAAACUUCCCUAUAUCAUAGCUAGAUUGAAAAUGAAAUAGAGUUCCGUGGAACGUAACGUGGCUUCAGAUAAAUAGUUCUUAAUUAAAGUGAGUAAUAAAUAUUGGUUAGUAUCGUUCUUGAAAACGUAGAUGAAGCAGAUUUGUUUUGUAUGCCAAGAGUUCAAUAAAUGUUUCUUCGUGAUUUUUGA